UUUGUCACUCCUUCAAACUAAAUCAUCGCUACUAUAAAAAUGUCUUGCAUCUGUUAAUGGUAUCAUCGUUCUAUAAAAAGUUAAUCAAAAUAGGUGUUUUUUAAUUGAGUAAUUUUCGUAGACCUGUAAGCCUUUCAAAACGCGGGCCCGGGUUCCGGCGAAAGUGCUGAAUCUGCCUUACGCCGGCCGUGAUCCACGCAUACCCACAUAAAAGACUUUAUUUCCCACCAAACAAAGUCGUAAUACCUAACCUCAAUGUUUCAAUGUAGGGAAUUUAGAAUCUAUAAUUUGCCAAAUAUGUAUAUAUGUACAAGUUGUGCAUUAUUUAACAUUAUUUAUUGUGAAUUAUCCUUCGAAAACUUUUCUAUAUUUGCUUAUCAAACAAAUUUAAAUUGACUUGUGUUGCAAAUAUCUACCCUAUUCUAUAAAUUAUUUCAAGAAAUUCCCCCAGAUCCAGCAACAUCCAGAUCUUCGUUAAGACCUUAACAGGGAAAACUAUUACUCUUGAAGUUGAAGCUUCUGACAAAAUAGAGAAUGAU